rnacentral:rRNA from 1 species
AUUGAACGCUGGCGGCAUGCCUUACACAUGCAAGUCGAACGGCAGCACGGACUUCGGUCUGGUGGCAAGUGGCGAACGGGUGAGUAAUAUAUCGGAACAUACCUUGUAGUGGGGGAUAACUAUCCGAAAGGAUAGCUAAUACCGCAUACGCUCUAAGGAGGAAAGCGGGGGAUCGUAAGACCUCGUGCUAUAAGAGUGGCCGAUAUCUGAUUAGCUAGUUGGUGAGGUAAAGGCUCACCAAGGCGACGAUCAGUAGCUGGUCUGAGAGGACGACCAGCCAGAAUGGAACUGAGACACGGUCCAGACUCCUACGGGAGGCAGCAGUGGGGAAUUUUGGACAAUGGGGGCAACCCUGAUCCAGCAAUGCCGCGUGAGUGAAGAAGGCCUUCGGGUUGUAAAGCUCUUUUGUCAGGGAAGAAACGGUUGUGGCUAAUAUCCAUGGCUAAUGACGGUACCUGAAGAAUAAGCACCGGCUAACUACGUGCCAGCAGCCGCAGUAACAC